rnacentral:rRNA from 1 species
GUUCGCCCAUGAAAGCGGCACGCGAGCUGGGUUAAGAACGUCGUGAGACAGUUCGGUCCCUAUCCGUCGCGGGCGUUGGAAAUUUGAGAGGAGCUGUCCUUAGUACGAGAGGACCGGGAUGGACUUACCGCUGGUGUACCAGUUGUUCUGCCAAGGGCAUUGCUGGGUAGCUAUGUAGGGAAGGGAUAAACGCUGAAAGCAUCUAAGUGUGAAGCCCACCUCAAGAUGAGAUUUCCCAUUUCUUUAAGAAAGUAAGAUYCCUGAGAGAUGAUCAGGUAGAUAGGUCAGGAGUGGAAGUACAGUGAUGUAUGGAGCGGACUGAUACUAAUCGAUCGAGGACUUAACCAAU